rnacentral:rRNA from 1 species
GAUGAACGCUGGCGGCGUGCCUAAUACAUGCAAGUCGAGCGAACAGAUGCGGCGCUUGCGCCUUUGACGUUAGCCGCGGACGGGAGAGUAACACGUGUAUACUCUACCUAUCUGACUGGUAUCACUUCGAGACAGCGGCGCUUAUCGCGGAUAAUCUCUUGAUCCGCAUGGUUCGAUAGUGAAAUACGGUUUUGCUGUCUCUUAUAGCUGGUUCCGCGCGGCAUUAGCUAGUUGUGACGGUAACGGCUUACCAAGGCAACGAUGCGUAGCCGACCUGAGAGGGGGAUCGGCGACACGGGAACUGAGACAGGGUCCAGACUCCUACGGGAGGCAGCAGUAGGGAAUCUUCGGCAAUGGGCGAAAGCCUGACGGAGCAACGCCGCGUGAGUGAUGAAGGUGUCGGGAGCGUAAAACUCUGUUAUUGGGGAAGAACAGAUGUGUAAGUAACUAUACACGGCGUGACGGUACCUAAUCAAAAAGCCCCGGCUAACUACGUG